CAAUAGCGUAUAUUUAAGUUGUUGCAGUUAAAAAGCUCGUAGUUGGAUUUCGGUUAAGAGGGACCGGUCCGCCGUUUGGUGUGCACUGGUUGGUUUUAACUUCCUGUAGAGGACGUGCUCUGGGUUUAACGACCUGGACUCGGAGUCUACGUGGUUACUUUGAAAAAAUUAGAGUGUUCAAAGCGGGCUUACGCUUGAAUAUUUCAGCAUGGAAUAACACUAUAGGACUCCUGUCCUAUUUCGUUGGUCUCGGGACGGGAGUAAUGAUUAAGAGGAACAGUUGGGGGCAUUCGUAUUUCAUUGUCAGAGGUGAAAUUCUUGGAUUUAUGAAAGACGAACUUCUGCGAAAGCAUUUGCCAAGGAUGUUUUCAUUAA
rnacentral:rRNA from 1 species